rnacentral:misc_RNA from 1 species
AAGCAGAUGUUAUAUCAAUAUAUUUUGCAAAACUAUUUGUAUAUAGUUGUGCAAAUAACAUAUAUGUGUGUGUACAGACUUUAUCAAUAGAAGAAACUUUUUACAAGCCACACCAAAGUUUUUAAACAGUCACUGUCACAGUGUUGUAGUGUCAAACUACACGGUCAAAGUGUACUUUUCAAAACAAGAGUAUAUGGCACUUGCUGCAACACAACCAGAAGAUUCGUCUAUGUUUCAUGAGUAGAAAAUAAUGAACUAAUCAAUUGAGAAAAGACUUCUAGUCAAUAAAAGUCCUUUUCUUUCCCCUUUUGCUUUGCCAAAGAAAAUCAAUCAUUAAGCCCUGAUAUUCUUCGAGACAACGAUUUUGAUAGCAUAUUCACAGAACUCGGGCUGUGCAUGAGCCACCGACCAUUUGGUUUAGUUUCUCAUGAUUACCAUGAUAAAUAUCAUCUGUUAAAACCAGAAAGCACUAAACCAAUAAAUUUAUCUAUUUCUUGAAACAGACCAAUAUAUCAUGCAAUUCAAUUAAUAGAAUGGAAU